rnacentral:rRNA from 1 species
UGAAUUGACGGGGCCGCACAAGCGGUGGAGCAUUGUGGUUUUAAUUCGAUGCAACGCGAAGAACCUUACCUGGGCUUGACAUCCCGGGAAUCCCCUGGAAACAGGGGAGUGCCCUUCGGGGAACCCGGUGACAGGUGCUGCAUGGCUGUCGUCAGCUCGUGUCGUGAGAUGUUGGGUUAAGUCCCGCAACGAGCGCAACCCUUUGUCUUUAAUUGCCAUCAUUUAGUUGGGCACUUUAAAGAGACUGCCGGUGUCAAACCGGAGGAAGGUGGGGAUGACGUCAAGUCCUCAUGGCCUUUAUGACCAGGGCUACACACGUACUACAAUGGCCGGUACAAAGGGCAGCCACUUAGCGAUAAGGAGCCAAUCCCGUAAAGCCGGUCUCAGUCCGGAUUGGAGUCUGCAACUCGACUCCAUGAAGUUGGAAUCGCUAGUAAUCGCAGAUCAGCACGCUGCGGUGAAUACGUUCCCGGGCCUU